CCUACGGGAGACAGCAGUGAGGAAUAUUGGUCAAUGGUCGCGAGCCUGAACCAGCCAAGUAGCGUGAAGGAUGACUGCCCUACGGGUUGUAAACUUCUUUUAUAAAGGAAUAAAGUGAGGCACGUGUCCCUUUUUGUAUGUACUUUAUGAAUAGGAUCGGCUAACUCCGUGCCAGCCGCCGCGGUAAUACGGAGGAUUCGAGCGUUUUCCGGAUUUAUUGGGUUUAAAGGGAGCGUAGAUGGGUUGUUAAGUCAGUUGUGAAAGUUUGGGGCUCAACCGUAAAAUUGCAAUUGAUACUGGCAGGCUUGAGUACAGUUGAGGUAGGCGGAAUGCGUGGUGUAGCGGUGAAAUGCUUAGAUAUCACGAAGAACUCCGAUUGCGAAGGCAGCCUACUAAACUGCCACUGACGUUGAGGCUCGAAAGUGUGGGUAUCAAACAGGAUUAGAUACCCCUGUAGUC
rnacentral:rRNA from 1 species